UAUACACAAAACAUGAGCCCUCUAAUUUUUAAAUGAACUUCCCAUCAAAACCUCCUAUGUGACAAACGUUUUAAAACUGACUUUAGUUCUCCUGUAUACUAAACUCUAACAGGGUUUGCUGAUCCAGUGCAAGAUCAAACACGAAGUACUCUGAUCAGAGGCAUGUCAAAAUAUUAAAGAACACAGUGACAGCUUGUACUGCUUUAUCAGUUAAAACCACAUUAUACAUCAACCACAACCUGUCUGGCUUGCGCAUUUGAUUAAAUUUCCUAUUCAGCAGUGACUCAUUCGUAUUCCAUGCUUGUCUGAAUGACAAAUUGAACAUUGUUUUGUAUUGCUACACGAUGUGUUAAUAAACAGUGCUGGAGAGACUUGAUCUGAAAGGUGCCGCACCAUUGUCACUGCUAGAAUAGAGACUGAUCUCAAAGCUGCAAAGCAUUGCUAGCUGUGCACUGAGACAGCUGCUCACACCUACAGCCAGAAAUCUUCUCAACAGGUUGGCGUAGGUUGUUGGACCAUACAGGAGAACGGAAGAGCGCACACAAUGUUUCUUGAGUACAAUGUUGCUAGCGCAAGCAUGCUUAUCUGCCAAAGACACUCUCCAUUCCUUCUAGCUGUUAAUGGCUACAGAGUAAAGCCCCACUCUUCCCUUUUCCCAUUCUGUGUAAGAAACAAAAUGCCAAGCUUCAUAGCAGACUGGAACUGGAAAAAUUCUCUUUCUCCUUCAGACAGAGAGAUGAUACAGGACUCACUGAGCCUGACGUGUCUAAUUCAUCAGCAGAGGACCAUGAGGACAAAUCCUAAAUUCAGAAGGAAUGGAGAUCAGACCAUCUGUUCAGGCAAGCAAACUCAAAAAACCCAACAAUCCCAGACUGAAAUCUCUGCUGAGUUAUUUCCAAAGGAAAACAAAACAAACAAAAAGAGCAGUUAAUAUUUGUUAGCAAUUUUUACAAGAUUCAGGAAUUACAUGUUUUCUCUGUUGGCCCUGAAGAAAAACAAACAUAGUUAAAAGUUAAUUGUUUCAGGUGAAGCAUUUUCUGCCAAGGACAAUACAAAGAAAAAGUAGUUUGUUUUUUAUUGGGUUUUAACCACCACAAGAGGUGGGAACCAUCAUGAUUUUACUCCAACAGACAAAAACUCACUAGAAGCAAAAAUAGCUAAGUUCUCACAAUUUAUGAACUCUGCUAAUCACAGACUAUAAAUAAAAUGUAGAGUUUGAAACUAA